CCAAAACAUUGUACCGGAAGGUAGGAUUUUAUAGUUUGUACAAUACAAGUUUUUAUGAGUCUUCUUUUGAAGUUUGAGUCCUAAAUAAUACUAAACUAUUCGCAUUCAUUUUGUCUUAAUUAUUCGCAAUUUGUACAUCUAAGUUUUUGCAUGGAAUCUUUAUACUUUGGUCUGGAACUAAUAACUGAACUCCUGUUUUGUAUAUUUUUUAUCAAUACUUCUAGCUCAUCUUGAAAAUUUAACUUGGGUUGAUUUUCUUGAAAUACAUUUUGAGUAUAUAAUUUUUAGUAUUAUGUACAGUGCAACAUUAUCAUGAUUAUGAACAAUAUGUUGUGUGCUCUGAUAAAAUGUCAAGUUUCACGUUUGUGUAUGUGUGUGUAUUUAUAUAUUUUGAGACACCUCGAAUUAAUAUGACCUUUUCAGUUCAUUGAGAAAUUCUUUAAUUUUUAAAGAAUAUAAGGUUACAUUGAUUUGCGUCAUAACUGAUUUACUCUUUUUAAUUUACAGAGUUUAACAUCUCAAAAAUCUCAAUAUGUUUAUUUGAAUCAAUGAACCAAAUUCCUUUAUAAUAAAAUGGGUAAACCUUAAAUAAAUCCAAAGAUAGAGAUAAUGUCAAUUUAUUUUGUCCAACAAUGAAACUUUAGUCAAGAAAUAUUAAUUCAUUUAGUCAAAUAUCAACAAUGUACAAAUGUAGAUAAAGCUAAUAUAGGAAGCAUAAAAUGCACUUCUACAUCUAAGGAUAACACAUGAAAGCGUUACCACUUAUCUACGAAGAAGUCAUUGAGUUUAUGCAUAAGCUACAGACUCGAGGACGUAGGCCCGGUGCGGUGUAUAAAAUUUGCAUCUUAUUGUUGUUAAUGCAUAAUUAUGAAUAUCUAUAAAACCUGCAUUAAUCGACCAUUUUCUACAUGAGGAAAUUCGUGUACCAAAUCAAGAAUAUGACAGUUGUUUUCCUUUCGUUUGAUGUAUUUGAGCCUUUAUUUCGCACUUUCCGGUUGAAUUUUCAUUUUAGUUCAUUAUUUUUGUUAUUUAAAUUGUUACAGUAAUUUAUCCAAAAAAAUGGUAAAGCAUGAUUUACAUUGCAGUAUAUUCAAUUACAAUUAAUUGUAUACCGUCGUAAAUCUACCUUUUAAGUUAUCGGAUGAAAAACAAAUCCUAUUUACAGUAUAAAUUAAAAUAUAAUUUAUAACAAUAUACAUAUAUAGUGAAUUCAAAGAUCAUAAAAGUAUAUUGAAUCUACCAAAAACAUUCACAAUGUUCACAAGAAAUUAUUUUGCAAGACAUUGGUCUUUACAUUUAUAAUGUUCAAGGGUGUAUAAAUACAGAUCAAAAUAUUCACUGGUGGAAAGCGGAUGGUCGUAACUAAAAGCUAAAAGCUACGACCAUCUGAAUAUGGGAGACAACUCUAGGGAUAAGAUUUUCUUUUCCGAUUUUCGUGCAGAAAAAGGUUCAUUUGAGUCAAACCGCUUGUCUCAUAUACACAUAUCGUGAGUGCGUUGUUAUUGAAACCAAAUUUGACACAUUAAAUCAUUCAAAUUUUCGUAAAACAGUCAUUCAAAAAUUCGAGCAUGAUGGUUGUAACUUUAACUUGUGAUGGUCGUAAUGUCAACUAUAGUAUUUUGGAUGAUGGUCGUAACCGACACAAGAUGGUCGUAACUUUGAAAGAUGACCUUUUAUCAAACUAUUUAAAAAGUACUGUGCACAUGCAUAACCAUGUUAAUAAACUCAGUUGUUAUAAAAAGUUUACUACAAAAAAUAUUAUUUCAUUUGUUACUCUGAUAAUGGUAUGCAGAAAUUAAGUUAAAGAAUUAUCAAACAUACAUUUUUGAUAUGUUCCAAACGACCAUCAUUUAGGAGAAACAGUGAAAACUAAUCAACUCGCAUUAAGCCACAUAGUAUGUUAGGGUUGAUGAUUAAUAUAUUGUUUACUGUACGUUAAAGGCAUCAAAUUGUUGAAUAUUAGUUUUCAGAUUUUUUUUGGAUUUACGACUUUUUAUUACCUGCAAUCAUGUCGGCAGAUGAAAUUAUUGAACGUACAAUUUUGAACAAUCUUCUUUAAUUUUUAAUCAGCUAUUGCAGUUUUUAUAAACCAUUGGCUUUCAAAUAUUCGGCUUUUGGUGAAUCAUGAUUAAUGAAAAUCCACAAAUGCCCAGGGUGUUUUUAACGUAUUGUCUUUAUUUUUUAUCGAUUGCAUGACGAUCUUGCGGUAUAUCAUUGAUAUUUGUUCUAAGUAUUGGUUCAGAAUUAAAACUUAAUCCAUAGUGUCGCAAUGAACAUUGUGUUAACCUAGAAAGUAUGAAUAAGGUUGAUAUAUAUUUUACAAUGCUACACGCGUUGAAUUUAAGAGUAAGAUCAAAUAUUAGUAGUUUGUAGACAGGCUUGUAGCCAGGAUAAUAUUACAAGGUAGAACUAAAUGACUGCGGCAAAUAUUACAUACAUAUGCAGGUAUAUAUUUUACAAUGCUACACGCUUUGAAUUUAAGAGUAAGAUCAAAUAUUAGUAGUUAAUAGCCAGUCUUGUAGCUAGGGUAAUAUUACAAGGUAGUCAGAACUAAAUGUACUACGGCAACUAUCACAUACAUAUUGUUAUGAUAUUGUAAUUAUUAUGUUUAUUUAUGUUGGCCUAAUUUGUGUUGUAUGGCCUGAUAGUUGUUUACCAAAUAAUCUUAUAACUGUGCAGUUUAGGAAUGAUUGGAACUUCUAGAAUGAUCCUUAUAAAGAUGCGUAAUUUAAACUUCUACGUAUUCAGAAACUUCCGUUGUAACUUUCCAGGAUUUUCCACAAUGUUCCAUUAUAGAGUGUUCUAGAAUUUUCCAUGACAACACUAUAUAUACAGACACUAAAGUUAAACUCUCAUAAUUAAACUUGGACUUAGACAUUGAUAGACAUUAGUAUUCACGGCAUUUGGAUUGACACUUUUAUUCUACAAACA
rnacentral:lncRNA from 1 species